GACGAACGCUGGCGGCGUGCUUAACACAUGCAAGUCGAACGGAAAGGCCCUUCGGGGUACUCGAGUGGCGAACGGGUGAGUAACACGUGGGUGAUCUGCCCUGCACUUUGGGAUAAGCCUGGGAAACUGGGUCUAAUACCGGAUAGGACUACGGCCUGCAUGGGUUGUGGUGGAAAGCUUUUGCGGUGUGGGAUGGGCCCGCGGCCUAUCAGCUUGUUGGUGGGGUGAUGGCCUACCAAGGCGACGACGGGUAGCCGGCCUGAGAGGGUGACCGGCCACACUGGGACUGAGAUACGGCCCAGACUCCUACGGGAGGCAGCAGUGGGGAAUAUUGCACAAUGGGCGCAAGCCUGAUGCAGCGACGCCGCGUGGGGGAUGACGGCCUUCGGGUUGUAAACCUCUUUCAGUAGGGACGAAGCGUAAGUGACGGUACCUAUAGAAGAAGCACCGGCCAACUACGUGCCAGCAGCCGCGGUAAUACGUAGGGUGCGAGCGUUGUCCGGAAUUACUGGGCGUAAAGAGCUCGUAGGUGGUUUGUCGCGUUGUUCGUGAAAACUCACAGCUUAACUGUGGGCGUGCGGGCGAUACGGGCAGACUAGAGUACUGCAGGGGAGACUGGAAUUCCUGGUGUAGCGGUGGAAUGCGCAGAUAUCAGGAGGAACACCGGUGGCGAAGGCGGGUCUCUGGGCAGUAACUGACGCUGAGGAGCGAAAGCGUGGGGAGCGAACAGGAUUAGAUACCCUGGUAGUCCACGCCGUAAACGGUGGGUACUAGGUGUGGGUUUCCUUCCUUGGGAUCCGUGCCGUAGCUAACGCAUUAAGUACCCCGCCUGGGGAGUACGGCCGCAAGGCUAAAACUCAAAGGAAUUGACGGGGGCCCGCACAAGCGGCGGAGCAUGUGGAUUAAUUCGAUGCAACGCGAAGAACCUUACCUGGGUUUGACAUGCACAGGACGCCGGCAGAGAUGUCGGUUCCCUUGUGGCCUGUGUGCAGGUGGUGCAUGGCUGUCGUCAGCUCGUGUCGUGAGAUGUUGGGUUAAGUCCCGCAACGAGCGCAACCCUUGUCUCAUGUUGCCAGCACGUUAUGGUGGGGACUCGUGAGAGACUGCCGGGGUCAACUCGGAGGAAGGUGGGGAUGACGUCAAGUCAUCAUGCCCCUUAUGUCCAGGGCUUCACACAUGCUACAAUGGCCGGUACAAAGGGCUGCGAUGCCGUAAGGUGGAGCGAAUCCUUGAAAGCCGGUCUCAGUUCGGAUCGGGGUCUGCAACUCGACCCCGUGAGGUCGGAGUCGCUAGUAAUCGCAGAUCAGCAACGCUGCGGUGAAUACGUUCCCGGGCCUUGUACACACCGCCCGUCACGUCAUGAAAGUCGGUAACACCCGAAGCCGGUGGCCUAACCCCUUGUGGGAGGGAGCUGUCGAAGGUGGGAUCGGCGAUUGGGACG
rnacentral:rRNA from 1 species